AAUAACAACAAUAAAAUGCAAGAUUUUGAUUAGAACAAAGAGCAAGCCCUUCCUUUUCAUGCCACAAAGUGUUGUGAGCACUGGGAACUUUUGAAGUGGUGUUUGAUUCUGUCGACCUCCUGACCCCUCUCUAGAAUGAAGUCAGCUGUGAGAAAAAGGCACAGAGAGUAGCAGGGUAAAUGGACAUGGUUUUUGUCUGAAUUAUUGUUCUCUAUUAAUGAAUUUAGAGAUUUGCACCGUUAUUUUAAAAAUAGAAGACCUGCAUUUGUAGUCUCCAGCUGGAAUAUAAGUUUGCAACAAAGAAAAACCAAAUUUAAUUUCUCUAA